ACCCGAUGCAAACUGCGAAUACCGGAGAAUGUUAUCACGGGAGACACACGGCGGGUGCUAACGUCCGUCGUGAAGAGGGAAACAACCCAGACCGCCAGCUAAGGUCCCAAAGUCAUGGUUAAGUGGGAAACGAUGUGGGAAGGCCCAGACAGCCAGGAUGUUGGCUUAGAAGCAGCCAUCAUUUAAAGAAAGCGUAAUAGCUCACUGGUCGAGUCGGCCUGCGCGGAAGAUGUAACGGGGCUAAACCAUGCACCGAAGCUGCGGCAGCGACGCUUAUGCGUUGUUGGGUAGGGGAGCGUUCUGUAAGCCUGUGAAGGUGUACUGUGAGGUAUGCUGGAGGUAUCAGAAGUGCGAAUGCUGACAUAAGUAACGAUAAAGCGGGUGAAAAGCCCGCUCGCCGGAAGACCAAGGGUUCCUGUCCAACGUUAAUCGGGGCAGGGUGAGUCGACCCCUAAGGCGAGGCCGAAAGGCGUAGUCGAUGGGAAACAGGUUAAUAUUCCUGUACUUGGUGUUACUGCGAAGGGGGGACGGAGAAGGCUAUGUUGGCCGGGCGACGGUUGUCCCGGUUUAAGCGUGUAGGCUGGUUUUCCAGGCAAAUCCGGAAAAUCAAGGCUGAGGCGUGAUGACGAGGCACUACGGUGCUGAAGCAACAAAUGCCCUGCUUCCAGGAAAAGCCUCUAAGCAUCAGGUAACAUCAAAUCGUACCCCAAACCGACACAGGUGGUCAGGUAGAGAAUACCAAGGCGCUUGAGAGAACUCGGGUGAAGGAACUAGGCAAAAUGGUGCCGUAACUUCGGGAGAAGG
rnacentral:rRNA from 1 species